CACCGCGGGUCGCGGCAGGCAGAGGGGAAGUCGGUGCGCUGGUCGCCGCCCUGCAAACUCAGCCGAGUUUGGGAGCUCGCAGGAGGACUUGGGGAACGCUGGAGGGAACCUUAGUAUAGAGUUUGAGGAGCGGGCAAGGAAGGUCCCCAUGGACUCUGGGGUUGUCCCCAGAGCCUCUUCUUCCCUUCUGCAUCGCCGCCUAUUCAUUUAUUCUGCAGCAAAUAUUUAUUGAGCGCCUAUUUUAGGCGCUGAGGCUACUGUGAUGUUGGAUGACAAUAACCAUCUUAUUCAGUGUAUAAUGGACUCUCAGAAUAAAGGAAAGACCUCAGAGUGUUCUCAAUCUGGCCAGUGGGAGCCCCUCAAGCUGGCUUCUUGAUAUGUCUUCAUUAUUUUUUGAACAUUUACUUAUUUUCUUAUACCACAAAAUGUUCUAGGCUCAUCCUGGUUUUUUUUUCCUGUGCAGGGUGAGUCCAAACUAUUCCAGAGUUGCAUAAAUUUCAAACAACAAAAAAAAUUAGUGUCGAUCAUUCAUCGUAAUUUAAAAGAGUUGUUUAAAUCUGUAGUUUGGAAGAUAACUUUUAUUCUAUAAAGUGCAUUCCCGUUGUCUAAUAAAUAUUCAUAGCUUCUAGGGUCAUGAAUAAACCACAUCUGUUAGUAUGGUUUGGUCAGUGGUCCUCAGAAAAUCUCAUGUCGUGCAACCAUACUAAUACUCAAGCAAAGGAAAACUUGAAGGCCUAGACUGAAACAGGUAUCAGCAGAUGUUGCACACAAACUUGGUAUACCUUGCUACAAUAGCAGAUUCUAAUCAAAAUAUGCAGUCUCUUUUACCAGCACCACCCACACAGAAUAUGCCUAUGGGUCCUGGAGGGAUGAAUCA
rnacentral:lncRNA from 1 species